rnacentral:lncRNA from 1 species
AAAAACCUCUAAAAAUCAGUCAUCUGAAAUAUAAGUACACAAACUGUCUUAAAUGACUUUAAUAUGAACUACCAAACUACAUAAAAGUGUUUGAAACACUAAACAACUACAUAAUCAGUUUACCACUCAUUAACAGUCACACAUUCUUCUUAAGUUAUAUUCCCUAAACAGUAUGUAUUAUCAGUCACAAUCUUCUUCAGUUGUACAUGAUCAAAACAAGUAGGCAUCAAAUCCAAAGUCGUCCCCCAUUAACAUUGUUCCAUCUUGCUCCUGCAUCACAUUUACGAAUUAUAUAUAUAUAAGUCUAGAAACAUACAAAAAAUGUAAUAGGAAAAGAGACAAUACAAAACAGGGAAUAAAAUACUUACAUUUCUUUUUCCAAAUCCAUUUCUACAUUAUAUAUCCCCGCAACUCCCUAUUUCAUGGUCCAUGUCAUCCAUUAUAUUUACACCUGGACAAACAUAAAACUUGACGUAAUCAGGAUAAUUUACAAAUUAUAACUUUGAAAUUAGGUUGGAAUGAGUACUUUAAAAAUUCAAUAUAGCAUCAUAAGACAUUUUCACACCAACAAGUUACUAGACUAAGAAAAUAGAGAUGAAAAGGGUUGUGGGAUUCUCUAUUGUAAAACUAUCAGAAAUUGACAAACUCUCUCUGACACAUGCACAUUCACACACACAAACACAUGGAUAUGCAUCAAAGGAAAGAUCUACUUUAAAUCUGCACACGAGUUCAUUAAUUUGAUAAUGAUCAUAUUUUCAAGAGUCUAGAACAUAACUUGUUUAAUGGAAGUGUUCCAGCUGAACUUGGAAAACUAGUCAAUUUGGAAAAUCUGUAAGGCCUUCUCUUGUACCUCAUUUACCAGUAAUAUUUAUGUAUACAUAAUACAAUGAGUUCAUACCACGUACCAAUGGCCAUUUGCCAUAUGAUAUUUGAAUUUUCCUUUGCUAAUAAUAUAUUUUUCUAUAAUAUUUAAGAUUAUACUCAUUUUUGCCAAUACAGUAGGCUAAACAGCAAUAAUUUUAGUGAGAAACUACCUAAUUUUCAAAAUUGGAAACAACUUCAAAAGUUGUAAGUUUUUUUAAAAUUAUUCAGUUUUUUUAAGUUGUAAAGCACCUUCUUAAUUCUCUUUCAGUAGCAUUAGCAUUAUGAAGCAUUUCAGUAGCAUCAUAAAUUGCAGUAGCAUUUUUUUUACAAAUAUCUUUUAAAUGGUAUUGCAGUAGCAUUAUGAAGCAUUUCCUAAACUAAAUUUCUUUUGUUCAAUUCUCAUCAAGUUGCAUUUGUAAGCAUUAUGUUGUUCAAGUUCCAGGAAACAUAAAAAAGAAUACCAAAGGAUUUCAUAAUUUUUUUUUAUGAAUUCUCAUUAUUUCAAUGAUAGUGAUUUUUUGACAGUGAGAUAUCUUUCCAAAAGAUUUGUUAAAGUUCAACCUGUGAUAUACCCCUCCUAUUGCAAUUUUCUUUUAUAUCUUUCACAAUCGAGGAAAAAUCCUGAACAUUUCACUGUUUUGAUGUAAAAUCUCUUGUUAUAUACCAAAUAUAUCUUUGUUAUAUAAAAAAGUAUGAAAUUCAUUUUACCCAAUAAAUUCCCCCAAAAGACUAAUAGUAGAGAAUCAUCUAAAUAAAUAUACUACUAAAUUAUACAGAGCAUAUAAAUUAUACAGAGCAUCUAAAUUUACCACUUUGCAAAGCAUUUAUUUCUCCUUGUAUUAGUUUGCCCUUGCUCAGUUCUGUUUACACUUUAUAGUAGUCUGUUCUUCGCAAUAACAAUACUUCGUGUUUUAAAAACAAAUUUUAGGAAAAAACCAUGGGCAACACACACAGAGAUCUAUACUUCUAUACUUCGCAAUAAUAAUAAUUUGGGUUUUUUGUUCUAGGGCUUACCGAUUCGAAGUGGAGAUUCUUCGUUCGAAAUGGAGAUUCGAAGCGGAGAGAUGGAGAUUCGAGGUGGAGAUUCUUUCUUUUUUAGGGCUUUGUUUUAUGAAGAUUUGGAGAAGAAGUCUGCCGAAUGUCGAGCCUUACAAAUUGGAUUGAAC